rnacentral:rRNA from 1 species
GAACGGGGAGCUUCGGCUCCUAGUGGCGGACGGGUGAGCAACACGUGAGAAUCUGCCUGUAGGUAGGGGAUAACAGCGGGAAACUGCUGCUAAUACCGUAUAUGCCCUUCGGGGUGAAAGAUUUAUCGCCUGCAGAUGAGCUCGCGACGGAUUAGCUAGUUGGCGGGGUAAAAGCCCACCAAGGCGACGACCCGUAGCUAGUCUGAGAGGAUGGCUAGCCACACUGGGACUGAGACACGGCCCAGACUCCUACGGGAGGCAGCAGUGGGGAAUAUUCCGCAAUGGGGGCAACCCUGACGGAGCAAUACCGCGUGGGGGAGGAAGGCCCNUUGGGUUGUAAACCCCUUUUCUCAGGGAAGAAGAACUGACGGUACCUGAGGAAUCAGCCUCGGCUAACUCCGUG